rnacentral:rRNA from 1 species
GACGAACGCUGGCGGCGUGGAUUAGGCAUGCAAGUCGAACGGUAGGAUACCUUCGGGUAUCUGAGAGUGGCGAACGGGUGAGUAACACGUAGGUGAUCUACCCUCAAGAUUGGGACAACCCAGGGAAACUUGGGCUAAUACCGGAUGAAAGCAGCAGUGAUGUUGUUUGAAAGGUGGCGUAAGCUGCCGUUUGGGGAUGAGCCUGCGCUCUAUUAGUUAGUUGGCGGGGUAAAGGCCCACCAAGGCGAUGAUAGAUAGGCGGCCUUAACGGGUGGUCGCCCACACUGGGAUUGAGAUACGGCCCAGACUCCUACGGGAGGCAGCAGUCGAGAAUAGUCUACAAUGGCCGAAAGGCUGGAUAGUGCGACGCCGCGUGAACGAAGAAGCCCUUCGGGUGUAAAGUUCUUUUAUAUGUGAGCAGUGCUUUCUAUGUGACAGCAUGGGGAGAGAGAUAUUAGCAUAUGAAUAAGCAACGGCUAACUCCGUGCCAGCACGG